AUUUAGGUCUUACUGUUAUUACAGGCUGUCAUUUGGAAAGCAUCUGAUUGAGAAGAGGGUGGAGCUGAUCUGUUUGUGGCUAGGAUGACUGACAGUAUUUUGCUUUUCAGAGUCCUUGUGGGUGGGGACAAAGCACUUGACUGUGGGAAGAGAAGUUAAGUAGAGCAACAGAUAUCAACUCUUCUCCCUCUCUGCAGAAAUGGUUUAGCACCAAGAAGAAGUUGUAUUCUUUUUUGGAGGCCGAUGAGUUAGGAAACAAGCUCUUCAUAUCUUACUUGAAGUGUUCCUUGAGCUUGACUGAGCUAGAGAAGAGAAAAUGAGCUAUCCUUGGCUGCAGAGGAGAGCAGACUGGGAACGGUAAUGGGGAGUCAAGAAACAUGCAGUGCAUUUAUACCAGGAUACCAGUCUGUCAAGCCUGUCUGCAAUCUCUGAAAUCUAAGAAAACCCUCAGCCUGAGAACUCGUACAUGCUUAACACUACAGCCAUGGCUGUAGACAGAAACUAGAUACCCUCAGGCAGUAAGACAUUUUCUCCUUCCACUGGGAGUUAAGCUGCUGCAGUCUAUAAGAUAGAGGCUUGCACAGGAGCAGUUACCAUCAGAUCUUAAUACAAAAAUGCAUGUACCAGACCUGGAAAAUGGCGGAAGAUCAACAACUAUGAUCAAAACUAAGGAAAAGCUUCCAUAAACGGAGCAAUCAAAUAGGCUGGAACUUGACACAGAGAAGAGACACCUGAAAGGGGAGUAUUCUAGAAGUCUGGUCUGUGUGUGUCAGAGCAUGAGUAGAUAACAAUCCUUUAUACAUUAUCUUUCCCAGAACAGGUAAUGGGAGAGUCUGAAAUAAAGCUAGUAGCAGCCAAGAUGAAAUCAAAGGCUCAUAUGCAAUGAGUUAAGCAUUGUGUGGAACUUACGCCAUGCUGUGCUGUGAAUUCAGAGAGGUUUGUAUGUUCAAAAGGAACCUGAUAAAGCGCUAGAAGUCUAUUGAAUCUUACUAAGUAGAAAGAAAACGUAUCUGGAUCAAGAAGUCUGAGCAGAAAAUGAAGUCUGGGGAAGCAUUAUGGGGCAUCCUACAUCUUAGUUCUGUCUUUGACUUUCCUUAGGGUUAGCUCAUGGAUUCUGUUGUGUUUAGAAAAGAAACAAAGAAAAUGUCCCAUGCCAAAGCAGGGAGGAAGCGUAGAGAAGUAGACUUAUGGAAAACCAGGUGCUCACAGGACCAAAAAGUGGAAGAAGUGAAGGGGAUGGGGAUACUAGUGAAAAGUACAUAAAUGUGAAAUAUAAUAGGAAAUGUAAAAAUAAGGAGGGUGAUGUUGGGCAUGGAGUAGAACACUCAAAUAAUGCUGACUACUCCUCAUAGAUGUGAGACAUCUCAAAUUUAUUCAUUUAUAGACUGCUUGGGAUAUGGCUGGUGAGGAACAAAAAUAUUUUUUACAGUAAUCAGGAUCUUUGUGGUGCUGCCUGUGAUGGACUGCGUGGCCAAGGCCAGAAGGGAGGACCUGCAACAUGAUUGGACCUCAGCUGAUGGUCUGUAAAUAGAAAGGGAAAGGUAGUGCUGAAGUCUGGUUCUCCUCCACAACUACUCCGAAGUCCUGGCCCCAGUUCAUCUGAGUUAGCGGCUGGCGAGAGGUCAGUGGAACUGUGGCAGGGCCGUCUCCUGAUGGGUGAUGGUGAUCUCUGCGGAGGACAGAUGCCCUGCCUGCUAUCUCCAGCUGCGACACCACACCUCUUGUUGGCAUGAAUGAAGUUUUUGCUGAAAAGGUGACCUGAGACACCACCAUGUGCAGUGGGUGCCUUGGGACCUGUGUCACAAGAAACACGUAGUCAGUGUGUCAACAGGAUUGCUCACAAGUCAUGCACUUAGUGCCAGCUCCUUCACCUCCCCUCAGAGGAAGGACUUGACAGCGAUUGCGGAGAGGUGGCCAUGCAAAGAAAGCUGUUAUGCCUUUCUUUGCCAGUGUUUGUGUGCUAAAUGGAGGGGAGAGAGUACUCCACCAGAUAGAUGGAAGCUGUCAAAGAUGCUCUGGCUCAGGAUGACCAUGCAAGUCUGGACUGAACAGAUCAUACGUCAUAGCACAGACAGCAAGUGGCCAGUCAUCCAGCCAGUCAUGCCUCUGCUGCAUUUAGCCUGUUAAAUUGAAGGAGUCUAGGUGGAAUUCCAUCUCCAGAGAGAUGUUUUUCCACCUAAAAUUCUGCAUCCCCGCUUGGAGAUUUUGAGUUAACAAGUUGAAACCCAUGGCAAAUGUGCCAUUAACUUCAACGUGGAAACAGCCUUAUCAGCUAACAAUGACAAGCUGUAUCAAGAAGACACCCUGUUGUCAUCCAGAGCCCGAGACAAGCCUGGGCCAGCUAUGCACAGAACAAAAUAUUGAAAAGAACUGUCCUUUGGUGGUCACAUGCUAGCAAGUCUUCCUUUUAAUGUUGGAGCAGCCUCCCACCUGCUGGGUCACACCUUCCUCUGCAUGUAGGAUGGAAGGAGCCUUGCUGGGUCACUGAGUCUAGGCUUCUGCCAGUGCAGGCAUCCACGUCAUAUAGUCCCUUUCACAUCUCUGCUAAAAACUUCUGCAUGGGGCAUUAUCACUUCAAUCUUUGUAACGAUAAGAGAUUAAAGCUUUUUCUGUGCUUCUGCUGUGUUCCAGCUUUAUAGGGCAAUUUCAUUUUAUCUACAGUACUACUAAUAAUCUUUGCCCGUUACUAAAGGACAGCCAGCUUCAGAAGACAAGGCAACAAUUCACAGGAAGUCAAGAUUCUACAGUUUCUUUAGCAAUUUGAGGGCAGAAGGUAGAUCUUUGGCUUAAAGACACAGGUGUAAGUAGAAGUGGAGGCAAAAAAAAGAGAAAAGUCAGUGUUCCUCUUUGGUAUUGCAACAAUGGAUUCUCCUGCAGCUCUGCUGCUUGGUGGCAUUGCACUGUGGAUCUCUAGGUCUUCUCAGGAAACACGGUCAAGCAGCACGCAAUCUUUCUACCACAGAACUGCUCUCUAUAUGUAACGCAUUUCCUGACAACUCCAGUAAGAGACAGCAUGGCCUGCAGUGUGAAAAGCAGUGAUGUGGUAGUACUGAAACCCAGAAGUAAAUGUCAUGUUCAUUCAAAAUGUUCAGAAAGAAAAAUCAAAAGAGAUAUAUGCAGUUGUUGGACAGUGAAUGGAGGAAGCAGAACGAUACAAUACAAAAUGCUGCCUUUGUUCAUUCAUUAACGCUAAUGAAGAGAGGGAACAAAAGUUAGAAGAGAGUUGCUUUGAUGUUACAGUAUCAGUGCUAUCAAACAAGUUAAAACCAAACCAUUACAGGUUCAAGAUGGACAAGUCUGGUGCAGAUUAUGCUGCAGUCUCUGGCAACGUGUGAGUUGCAUAACUAACUACUCCGCUGGCUUUUGGACAUUCCUAUAGCCUGACAUGCUUUGCAUAGUGAUCAGCAUGACAUUACAGCCUGUGUUUCACUAUCAAAAUUAAAGGCUUGAUAUGGAUUAUUUUGGAAGUCACUCUCCAGGUUUAGUGAGGCUGCUGUGCUGGUGUGGGAUCUCUGCAGCUGUACAACUGUUCCCCUGUUAUGUGGUCUGGAGCAAACGAUGGGGCACAGAUGGUGAGGGACUAUGGCCUCUUUCCCCUCCUCUCCAGCAAGUCUGCACUGAAUUUUACCUUCCUCACAAAUACAUUCUACAUUAAGUUAUCUUUAAAAUCAAAUGCAGCUUUUCACUUUUUAUUAUGCUUUACCUUUGGGCAUGUCUUGGUAGAAGCAGAUGACUGAGUACUGCUUUUAUUUCUAACUAGUUUCACUUUCUGGUUCUCAUGUAUUACCAAAAUAUUGCAGUCUUUUGAUUGAACCAGUCUUCAUAUAUGUGUAAAAGUUUACGUGCAUACUCAGUUGUUGGUAGAAUUAUUUAAUGAUAAUACUGGUUUAAAGUUCUGUAAACUCAUUAACAUUGUUCUCCUGCCACGGUUUUUGUUUCCCAGGCCCAGGAACUGUCAUGUCAUACCAUGCUAGGGCGCUUCUGUAGUACAGCAAGAUCUGGUGAGGGCAGAGCAGCAGCGUGAGAAUGCACUGGAGGAUGUGGUCUACCUUCCCUUGAAGUGACUCCACGUACCAGCUUGCAGACCAGCUUCUAUGUACACCACUGUGAUGAGUGCUGCGAGCCACUGGAUCAGACAUCACAUGCCGUUUACACUUCAGCUCCUGCAGCAGAAAAGACACUGCAGUGUCAUGCUGCAUAGCCAAAGGGAAGGCUGAGGCCAGAGCCACCUCUGCAAAUCUCUGGAUGUAGUAAUGCAAGUGCUUUCUUCAGCAGCAAAGCCAUUUAAAGAACUUGCUACUCCAGGGCACCACCACUGUUGUGGCUCUGCAUCACAGUGUAUCACACUGUCAGGAGCCUCUGUUAAAGCUGCUUGGAUCAAUGAAAUGAUCCAGGUUAAAAAUCCCUCUCGGAAACAGCUUGAGAGUUUGUUUUGCUUUGUUUUAACCAGAAUCAUUUCACUAUCAAUUCUACUUUCUCCUUAGCACAACUGGCAGAUUUACAAACAGCAGUGAGUUGCUAGAAGUCAGAAACUCCUCUUCUACUGGCUCUGUUGCUGAUCAAAACCAUGGAUCGCCUACGCAACAAGUACCUCCUUAGCACACAAGGCUGAGGGGGCCAGUGAGUAUCACUGAGCAACAGCAUUCCAGGAACAGCACUUCAGUGCCAGUGCAAACAGAAUUAAGUCCUUUAGUUGUGGCUGAAAUAUGGUUUCUGACAGAAUCAUUUCAAGGAAGAGGAUUUAGGAAAUCUUAAACUCUGCAGACUGGUCUCUAUUUAAAACUUGCAGGUCAGCACCUUAAGCGAACCUUGGAAAAACUAUUGUGUGAUCAGUCAUCGCACUGAAGCAGCAGCACCCGUUCGGUAAAGGCAGUCUUGGAUAAAAAGCUGAAUGCUGUGGUUUCAGUGACUUAUCGUUGAAACCUUGUGGUUUCUGUGUAGGAGGUUAUACAAGCUGGACACGUUUUGACAUCCUUGUUUCUGAGCUGUGAAAUCUGUACAUCUAAUUUAUGAAAAUUAUCUCUGGUUUAAUUUUAUUCUUUUUUUUUAAUGAAGUCAACAUAUUUUCCCUGCAUUCAGUGGAAACAAUAAUGGAAAUGUUUUAAGAUAUACUGUGAACCUGUUUUGACCUUAAAAGGGAGGAGAAUCAAGAUAUUCUUGAUUAUGAUUAAGGUCUAGGAAGGAAAUAAAAAUUAAAUACAGGGAGUUGCAAGUGAGAAGAAAGUAUUUUUCAAGUGUGAAGAUAAAUAGAGAAAUUAGCUAUGGGAAGUCAGAUAAUUUAGAAUAAAACAUGAUACUGGUACUACUUAGGAUAACAUGCAAUAUCUGUGGGCUUUCAGAUGGUCUAAACACACUAGUAAAUUUAUACACAAGGCAAAUGCAAGACUAAUGGAUCUGCAGCAGAAACAGUUGAAAUCACACACACACAAACACAAUUCAUCACUAGAUCAGUUAACGUGCUUUUUUCUUUCCUAGUUUAGUUUACUGCUAAUUCCCAUGAAUUGGUUCAGUUCUUUGCCAGUUGAAAUGUGCUAAUGUUGGUGCAAAGGACAAAGCAGGUAUGCACAGCUGGAACUCGAAGGAGAGGAAAAUAUAUUUCUUGGCUUCUCUGUGCUGUGUAGUUGUAGAAGAAACGCGCCAUGUCUGCAUUGCCAAACUGGAUUUGUGAGAGUCAUGGACCCACCUGCAUUCCCAUCUCUUCCUUACUUGUCUGCUGCCUUCUGCUCUGGUGAGCACCUACCAUCAUGUAAAUCCCCAGAAAGCUGAGCUGUGGCAAUAAUGGAUACCCAAGUCUGUAAUACUGGCAAAUCAUGAUCCCUUCUCUGCCAUGAGCAGCAGAACCACACAGACUAACAGCAAGUUCUGCCUCUGUCAGGUAAGUUCCCAGAAGCACAGACACCAUUCCCUGUGCCCAAACAUGGUAAGUGAAUGUACGGAAACGUAUUUAAAAUGAUCAAAAACCUGAUCAAAGAACUAUUUUCUGAAUAGAAAGCAAAUGUGAAGAAAAAGAACAUGCAAGGUACAAAACAAAGUUUCUUGCUAAAAUGUAAAAAAAAAAUAGACUACCUAGGUGAAAAAUAACUACUCAGUGCAUUUGUGGGAGUACAAAAAUCUGUCUGGAAGCAUUAGUCAAAGAUUAUAUAAUACUUCUGUGUAAGCAGAGAUUGAAAGUGUGACCACCCACUAUCAAUUCACUUCAGGGAGGACCAGCAAGAUUCAUAGUAAUAAUUUUAAGUAAUUUCUAUAUCGAAAAAUCAGUAGAAAACAAUAGAUUUUAAUUGGUCCUGGUCAUUGGUCCUGAUAGACCUGUUCCUUUUCAUAAAGGGGAAAAAAUUUUUACUCUAAUAUUGUGCUGUUUACUGGAAAAUGUCUUGUCCUGCUUGUGUUUCUUUCCAGAAACCUGAGCCAAUAAUUAUUGUAGCUACAGCUGCAGAUAAGUAUACAAGAAAAUAAUAAAAUUACAGUCUGAAGUUACUUUUCUGUAUGAAUGGUGUUUUUCUUGCCUGUUAUUUAUGGGCAGACUUAACACUUGACAUGGGGUUCCUUGAGCAGACAGUGCUGUUUGUCUGAACUAACUUACAGGAAACUGAGAGAAAAACGAGGAUGCACUGAAGACACUAGUCCAAAUCAGUGGAGGCUAUUGAAAAUAAUAUUUUCCCACAUAAUUAUUUUAAAUGUGGAAAAUGCAGACAACCAAGGAAGAACCAACCAUCUUUUGAGCAUCCAAAAUUUACUCAGGUGCAAUAUGUUAAGAUUCACUAUUCCUCUCCAUAUAUCUGGAUUUUCAGUCCAUAUCCUGUUCCUCUAAUUAUCACAAGGAUUACACAGCUACUUUGUAAUUGAACUCGAGCAAAAACUGUAUUCCUGUUCUCUCUUUUGCUGUGUAACCAAGCCUACAGUUCUUCAGAUGCUUGGUUGGCAGCAUUUUUAGGUGGCUUCUUAGCCACUACGCUACCUUUCCACUUGCCUCUCUGGGGCUGCUGUCCUCCUACCCUAUGAGCCUGUUGCUGGCCAGGGAUAGACAGUGAUACACCAGCGCUGCACACCUUCACCAGGCAUGCCUCUCCCUUCCGGGACUGUCAUGGAUGUAGGGUGCUGCAGAGCAGAAACAGCAGCUUACAUCUCCCCUUCAUCAGACUUCAUCCCCCAGUGUUGAAGACCCAGCUCAAAAGCCACAGGAGGCUUUUUUUUCCCCCUUUUUCCAGUGCCAGCCACCCACCAGCUUUGUGUUUGCCUUUCAGGGAACAAACUCGCUCACUGAUGCAGCCAGAAACGAGCCGUGCUCUGGUAGGGAGCUGUUAGACUGGACCAGCCAUCCCAGUGGUCUGGGUACAGAGACCCUGUAGCAGCCAUGGUGCCUUCCCAGUGAGAUGUGCUUUUACCAGCUGAGGAACGCUGCUGUAGGCCAUGGGCAAAUGACUGAGGGGCCAGUGCUUCCAUUUAGCAUCAUGCAAGAAUGGCAAAUAUCUUACAGCUAAGGAAAACUCAUGUAUCAGAAAAGAAUGCAGCAAUGCAGAGUAAGCUCAGUGGCCUUUUAGAAAUAAAGAGUUGUUGCUCAGAGAAGCUGCCUCACGGGGACCUCCACCAGGCCAGGCAUUGUCCAAACCCUCGGUGCAAUGCAGUCUACUCCCCUCCAGGUGUUUUUCCAAAGUUAUUCCAAAAAGACUGCGAAGUAACCAAGCAUUGCUGCAAAGGAGCUGAGAAGUGGCCCAUGCUCCUCCCGAGCCCCGCUGCAGCUGGCAGCCCCCGGGGCAUGUUCCCUGCGUGCACACAUCCUGCAGAUGGGAAACCUGGCAGCUGAGAUUUCGCCCUGGAAUUGACACACCAGGCUUCUCCAAGUACCACA